CUUCUAGCAAUUUAAAUUUUAAGCUUUAAUUAAUGAAAAGCUCUGCCUUCUAUUAAGGGAGCAUCAUGAACUAGCACAAGAAAGCUCUGCUUCAUGUAAUGCAGCUAUGAAAAGAGAAAAAAAACUGGGAAGGAAGCACCGGCCAUGGUUUGGGAGAGAAAUCGAGUGAGCGAAGCUAAGGGAACACGGAGAACAGUCAAUAUCCAGCAACGGCAGCAAAACACUUUCAAUUUUCUGGAUUAUUAAUUCAAAUUCACACGCACACGCCAGUUAAAAUUAAAGGGCUCUUUUUACUGCACUAGUUUAAAUUAAAGAUUAUAUUCUGCUC